UACGUAGGGCGCAAGCGUUAUCCGGAAUUAUUGGGCGUAAAGAGCUCGUAGGCGGUUUGUCGCGUCUGCUGUGAAAGACCGGGGCUCAACUCCGGUUCUGCAGUGGGUACGGGCAGACUAGAGUGCAGUAGGGGAGACUGGAAUUCCUGGUGUAGCGGUGAAAAUGCGCAGAUAUCAGGAGGAACACCGAUGGCGAAGGCAGGUCUCUGGGCUGUAACUGACGUGGAGGAGCGAAAGCAUGGGGAGCGAAC
rnacentral:rRNA from 1 species